AUUGAACGCUGGCGGCAGGCCUAACACAUGCAAGUCGAGCGGAGCGGCGGACGGGUGAGUAAUGCCUAGGAAUCUGCCUGGUAGUGGGGGAUAACGUCCGGAAACGGGCGCUAAUACCGCAUACUAUCAGAUGAGACUAGUGCGGAUUGGCUGGUGGGUGGGGAAAAGGCAUACCAGGGCGACGAUCCGUAACUGGUGUGAGAGGAUGAUCAGUCACACUGGAACGGAGACACGGUCCGGAUUCCUACGGGGGGCAGCAUAGGGGAAUAUCGGACAAUGGGCGAAAGCCGGAUCCAGCAAUGCCGCGUGUGUAAAGAAGGUCUUCGAAUUGUAAAGCACUUUAAGUUGGGAGGCGUUACUAACAGAAUAAGCACCGGCUAACUUCGUGCCAGCAGCCGCGGUAAUAC
rnacentral:rRNA from 1 species